rnacentral:rRNA from 1 species
AUUGAACGCUGGCGGCAUGCUUUACACAUGCAAGUCGAACGGCCGCGGGGAGGGCCUUGCUUCUCUGCCGUCGCGUGGCGCACGGGUGAGUCAUAUAUCGGAACGUCUCGAGAAGAGGGGGAUAACCACCCGAAAGGGUGGCUAAUACCGCAUAAAUUUUGAGGAACAAAGCUGGGGACUUAGGAAUAGUCUUAGCGCUUCUUGAGCGGCCCGCGUCGCAUUAGCUAGUUGGUGAGGUAAAGGCUUACCAAGGCGAAGAUCUGUAGUGGGUCUGAGAGGAUGAUCGGCCACACUGGGACUGAGACACGGUCCAGACUCCUACGGGAGGCAGCAGUGGGGAAUUUUGCACAAUGGGGGAAAGCCUGAUGGAGCAAUGCCGCGUGUGUGAAGAAGGCCUUAGGGUUGUAAAGUUCUUUUGUUAGGGAAGAACAGAUAUGUGUGAAUAAGUGCUGAUACUGACGGUACCUAAAGAGUAAGCACCGGCUAACUACGUG